rnacentral:rRNA from 1 species
CUCUGUGACUCCUACGGGAGGCAGCAGUGGGGAAUAUUGCACAAUGGGCGCAAGCCUGAUGCAGCCAUGCCGCGUGUAUGAAGAAGGCCUUCGGGUUGUAAAGUACUUUCAGCAGUGAGGAAGGCGGAGUCGUUAAUAGCGGCCUCGUUUGACGUUAGCUGCAGAAGAAGCACCGGCUAACUCCGUGCCAGCAGCCGCGGUAAUACGGAGGGUGCGAGCGUUAAUCGGAAUUACUGGGCGUAAAGCGCAUGCAGGUGGUUUGUUAAGUCAGAUGUGAAAGCCCGGGGCUCAACCUCGGAAUUGCAUUUGAAACUGGCAGACUAGAGUACUGUAGAGGGGGUAGAAUUUCAGGUGUAGCGGUGAAAUGCGUAGAGAUCUGAAGGAAUACCGGUGGCGAAGGCGGCCCCCUGGACAGAUACUGACACUCAGAUGCGAAAGCGUGGGGAGCAAACAGGAUUAGAUACCCUGGUAG